rnacentral:rRNA from 1 species
AAAUUGAAGAGUUUGAUCAUGGCUCAGAUUGAAUGCUGGCGGCAGGCCUAACACAUGCAAGUCGAACGGUAACAGGAAACAGCUUGCUGUUUCGCUGACGAGUGGCGGACGGGUGAGUAAUGUCUGGGAAACUGCCUGAUGGAGGGGGAUAACUACUGGAAACGGUAGCUAAUACCGCAUAACGUCGCAAGACCAAAGAGGGGGACCUUCG